GCGACGGUCACAAAUGUGGGGCUUUACAGUA
rnacentral:piRNA from 1 species